GACGAACGCUGGCGGCGUGCCUAAUACAUGCAAGUAGAACGCUGAAGGAGGAGCUUGCUUCUCUGGAUGAGUUGCGAACGGGUGAGUAACGCGUAGGUAACCUGCCUGGUAGCGGGGGAUAACUAUUGGAAACGAUAGCUAAUACCGCAUAAGAGUAGAUGUUGCAUGACAUUUGCUUAAAAGGUGCAAUUGCAUCACUACCAGAUGGACCUGCGUUGUAUUAGCUAGUUGGUGGGGUAACGGCUUACCAAGGCGACGAUACAUAGCCGACCUGAGAGGGUGAUAGGCCACACUGGGACUGAGACACGGCCCAGACUCCUACGGGAGGCAGCAGUAGGGAAUCUUCGGCAAUGGACGGAAGUCUGACCGAGCAACGCCGCGUGAGUGAAGAAGGUUUUCGGAUCGUAAAGCUCUGUUGUAAGAGAAGAACGAGGGGGAGAGUGGAAAGUUCACACUGUGACGGUAUCUUACCAGAAAGGGACGGCUAACUACGUG
rnacentral:rRNA from 1 species